rnacentral:rRNA from 1 species
GUGUCAGCAGCCGCGGUAAUACGAAGGAUCCAAGCGUUGUCCGGAUUUACUGGGUUUAAAGGGAGCGUAGGCGGGCUAUUAAGUCAGUGGUGAAAGCUUGCAGCUUAACUGUAAAAUUGCCAUUGAAACUGAUAGUCUUGAAUAUGGUUGAGGUGGUUGGAAUAUAUCAUGUAGCGGUGAAAUGCUUAGAUAUGAUAUAGAACACCGAUUGCGAAGGCAGAUCACUAAACCAUUAUUGACGCUGAGGCUCGAAAGCGUGGGGAUCAAACAGGAUUAGAUACCCUAGUAGUCC